GUUAUUCCUUAUCUUCUCUAAUCAGUUAGUUAUUGGAGCCUGUCUCCAUGCGUUCUGGCCUAUUCGGUCACAAAACGUAUGAAGACAGGCUCGUCGUCAUUUCCGCAUUCAGAGCCCCA
rnacentral:sRNA from 1 species